rnacentral:rRNA from 1 species
AGAGCUUGCUUUCUCGAGCGAGUGGCGAACGGGUGAGUAACGCGUGAGGAACCUGCCUCAAAGAGGGGGACAACAGUUAGAAAUGACUGCUAAUACCGCAUAAGACCACAGCACCGCAUGGUGCAGGGGUAAAACUCCGGUGGUAUGAGAUGGACCCGCGUCUGAUUAGCUAGUUGGUGAGAUAACAGCCCACCAAGGCGACGAUCAGUAGCCGACCUGAGAGGGUGACCGGCCACAUUGGGACUGAGACACGGCCCAGACUCC